rnacentral:sRNA from 1 species
UGGUUUCUCCAAUUAGGAUUGGCCUUCGGUUGUUCAAAGAGAUCAUUCAUUGCCUAUUCAUUGCCUAGGGAGAACUACAGGAGAACAUCAGAGAGUGGUGUAUCUGUAUAUCUCAUUAUUGCUAGGUGCUAUUUACAUGAAGAAUAUAGGAGCUAGCUUAGCUACAUUUAUAGAAACAUUUUGUUCUGUGCAAAAUGUCAUCCUCAAAUAUGAUGGAAGUUAGACGGAACGAGAAAGCCAAAAAUAAACAUAAAAAAUAAAAAUAAAAAUAAAAAAUUGAAUAAAAAGUUGUUGGACAACUCUGGAUUAAAACAUCCGGAAGAAAGGAGAGAGAAAUGAAGGGGAAAAAACCACCCAACUUAUUUGGCAUACUUCUGAUGGAACGCCUUCACCUUCUCAAUUUCGUCGUAGCUGCCCAAGAAGACGCCACUGCGGUCAUGGAUAUGCUCUGGGGAGAGAGAAAGCAAUCUUUCCAUCUUCGAAUUAAGCGCCUGGCCUCCCGCGUUCUCAAACACCAAGGCCAUAGGCGCACAUUCGUACAGGAUGCGCAGUUUGCCCUUGGGACUCUUCUUGUCGGCGGGGUAUGCAAAGACACCUCCGUACAGCAGUGUCCGGUACGCAUCAGCAACCAUGCUGCCGAUGUAUCGGGAACUGUACGGUUUGCCGUCAGCCGGGUAUUUCAGGGCCUUGAAGUACUCGAGCACCCAGUCAUCCCAGUACAAGGAGUUUCCUUCAUUGACACUGUAGAUCGCACGCUUGGCGGGGAGACGCAUGUUGGGGUGGGUCAGGAUGAACUCGCCCAGAGAGGCAUCCAUUGUGAAGCCAUUGACCGUGCCGCCCUUCAUGGUAAUGACAAGCUGAGCCGAGGCGCCGUACAUGGUGAAGCCGGAGGCGACGAGUUCGGUGCCGGGACGGAGGACAUCCUUGGCCGUGACGGUGUUGUUGGGGCCCAGAACCUCAUCUGGGAGCUUGAAGAUGCCGAAAAUGGUACCGACGGACACACCCGCGUCGAGGUU